AAUAAAUGAAUUCCUGAGUUUUUGGAUAGAAUUUUUGACUCUUCGUCUUAUUUGAAAUUUUUUUAUGAUUAAUUUUUUUUAUUAUUUUUACAUGAUAAAAUAUGAAUAGCAUUUUACGUGUGACUAAUUUUUUAAAUUUUUUAAUAAAAUUUUCAAAUAAGAAGAUGGUCAAACGCUCGACCUAGAAAACUCAGA
rnacentral:pre_miRNA from 1 species